GAUGAACGCUGGCGGCGUGCUUAACACAUGCAAGUCGAACGGAAAGGCCCAAGCUUUCUUGCUUACUCGAUUGGCGAACGGGUGAGUAUCACGUGUGUGAUCUGCCCUUCACUUCGUGAGAUGCCUGGGAAACUCGGUCUAUUACAGCAUAGAACAACAUUUUGGGUGGGGUGGUGGAGAGAUUUUCGGUGUUGGAUGAGCUUGCGGCCUAUCAGCCUGUUGGUGGGGUAGUGGCUUACCAAGGCGUAGACGGGUAGCCGGACUGAGAGGGUGUACGGCGACAUUGGGACUGAGAGGCGGCACAGGUAGCGACGGGAGGGAGAAGUGGGGAAGCUUGAACGAUGGGCGCAAGGCGGAUGCAGCGAGGCCGCGGGGGGGAUGACGGCGUUAGGGUUGAAAAAUACAUGCGUAAGGGACGAAGCGUUAUGUGACGGUACCUGGAGAAGAAGCCACGGCUAACUACGUG
rnacentral:rRNA from 1 species